AAAAUUAAUAACUCUGCAAAUUUUCGGUUUUCGCAGAUAUAGGGAGGAAGAGCGUUAAAGUUUUGUUACCUCGUUAAUGGCAAUUACUUGGUUUGGCCGCGGCCAUUGAACACGGAAACUAACUUGUGUCAAAAAAUCCUUGAACCAGAAUAUUGUAUCGGAUCUUGAAUUUUAGAGACUAAAGCAUUCAAAAUUCAGCGACCAAAUUCAGGGGGUGAUUUGCCCCAGACUAGGGAGUACCCUUUUCCAGUUGCCCGGAGGGUGAACUCUGCUAGUGCCAUGAUGAUGGGAGAUGACGUCGAGAAUGGUAAUCUGGGGCCUUACCAGGAUAGGCCAAGGACAUUUCCAUAUAUGCGUAGUAAACCAGAUACCCCCCGGUAAGAAUCUUAUGUUUGUCACAGUUCAGUGUGUGGUUUGUUAGUUGUGGAUGAGUGUGGAUUGGAAUUCUUGGCCAUGAUGUCCUGUUUCCUUCUCAUUUUUGGUUUUUGAUAUUUUAGAAGUUUGUUUUGAUUGUGCAUUUGUUGUAUCAAUACCUGGUUAAACUAUUUUUGGAAAAGAGGAAUUAUUUACCUUUUAUGA